rnacentral:tRNA from 1 species
CAGGUCGGUAGUGCAAUCGGCGCUAGAGCACCCAAGCUUCCCAAGCUCAGAGCGCGGGUUCGAUUCCCGUCACCCGC